rnacentral:tRNA from 1 species
GCCCGAUUGGCACAAUUGGUUAGCGCGUGAGACUUUUAAUCUCAAGGCUGUGGGUUCGAGUCCCACAUCGGGCG